ACAGUUUAAGAUCCUUGCCCGCUAGCCUUUCUGAGGAGCGACUGCAGAGCAGGGUGCUGCCAGCUUCCACCAGCCUCCCUCUCCCCUCCACAGCAGAGUAAUUGGUAAGACCUGUUGCAAUGGUUCCUUUUGAUUGCCUGGCGUUGAAGGAACUGCCUGAGGCCAAGGAAGACACAGACCUGCGUGGCUGCAUGGAGAGCGUUUAUCGUCUUUAGCACGAUUCCCAGCGCAACACAAGUGACACGUUACAGACAGGUUACCUGGAGAGCAUACGACUCCCUGCAUAGAUACAGGUUUCGAGUACCUCCUCACCCUGCUGACUUGCUGUGUCCCUGUCCGCAAGCUGAGGUCCUCCGACUCUGGCCUGCUUGUUAUCCCCAAGCAAAAGUGCACCACACUUGGAACCCUCGUUUAGCUCCACGGCUCCGACUCUUCGGAACUCUCUCCCAGCUUUGGUGCGUGAUGCUCCCACCAUCAGUCACUUUAAAUCAACUCUCAAGACC